GUAGGGCGCAAGCGUUGUCCGGAAUUAUUGGGCGUAAAGAGCUCGUAGGCGGUCUGUCGCGUCGGUUGUGAAAGCCCACAGCUUAACUGUGGGUCUGCAUCCGAUACGGGCAGACUAGAGGCAGGUAGGGGAGCAUGGAAUUCCCGGUGUAGCGGUGAAAUGCGCAGAUAUCGGGAGGAACACCGGUGGCGAAGGCGGUGCUCUGGGCCUGUACUGACGCUGAGGAGCGAAAGCGUGGGGAGCGAACAGGAUUAGAUACCCUGGUAGUCCACGCCGUAAACGUUGGGCGCUAGGUGUGGGGUCCUUCCACGGAUUCCGCGCCGUAGCUAACGCAUUAAGCGCCCCGCCUGGGGAGUACGGCCGCAAGGCUAAA
rnacentral:rRNA from 1 species